UCGCAUGCUCCCGGCCGCCAUGGCGGCCGCGGGAAUUCGAUUAGAGUUUGAUCAUGGCUCAGAUUGAGCGCUGGCGGCAGGCUUAACACAUGCAAGUCGAGCGGAGAGAGGUAGCUUGCUACCGAUCUUAGCGGCGGACGGGUGAGUAAUGCUUAGGAAUCUGCCUAUUAGUGGGGGACAACAUUUCGAAAGGAAUGCUAAUACCGCAUACGUCCUACGGGAGAAAGCAGGGGAUCUUCGGACCUUGCGCUAAUAGAUGAGCCUAAGUCGGAUUAGCUAGUUGGUGGGGUAAAGGCCUACCAAGGCGACGAUCUGUAGCGGGUCUGAGAGGAUGAUCCGCCACACUGGGACUGAGACACGGCCCAGACUCCUACGGGAGGCAGCAGUGGGGAAUAUUGGACAAUGGGCGCAAGCCUGAUCCAGCCAUGCCGCGUGUGUGAAGAAGGCCUUAUGGUUGUAAAGCACUUUAAGCGAGGAGGAGGCUACUUUAGUUAAUACCUAGAGAUAGUGGACGUUACUCGCAGAAUAAGCACCGGCUAACUCUGUGCCAGCAGCCGCGGUAAUACGAAUCACUAGUGAAUUCGCGGCCGCCUGCAGGUCGA
rnacentral:rRNA from 1 species